CACGUGGAUAGUGGGGUGCUCUGAUUUUUGAAUAUAAAAUUUAGAAAAUAAAGUAAACACUUUAUUGUAGUAAAAAUUAGCUUUAUAAGCUGUAGGAAUAAAAAAUUAAUUCUUUAUUAUCAUCGAUUUUUAGUAAGAAUUAGCUUUAUUGUAGUAGGAAUAAAAAAAAACAAUUCUUUAUUAUCAUCGAUUUUUCAUACUAAAAACAAUCGAUUAAUUUUAUGCAAAAUGUCACAUCUCUAGUAAAUCUCAAGUAACCAAUAGAAAAGUAUUAAUUGGAUAACCAAUAGAAAAGUUCGAAAGUUAAAAUGGCGGAUUGUUUACAAAUUUGUACUGUUGCACAAAACAUCAAAAAGUGUUUUUAAAUAUUUAAUUAGUGUAAAUUACAACUCAGAUACCAUAAAUGACUCCAAAUGUCACGGAAGUGUUCAAAUCAAGGCCCCCGAGACCCUAUCUAGGGGUCUGAAUAAGCAAAUUCAAGCAAAAAUUACUCCAAAUCUCACGGAGGUUUUCGAAUCAAGGUCCCCCGAGACUCCUACACACUCAGUUUAAUCACAAUCAAGGUAUUGAAUAUAAGAUCCAACCC